rnacentral:lncRNA from 1 species
UUCCAAGGUUAAAAAACCCCUUAUAUACAUAAAAGAGCACAGGAAUUUUCCAUGGGGGUGGGGAACAGCAAUAGAAAAGUGAUGACCUUGGGAUGGCGCCUAGAGACUGAACAGCUUGGCUAUUGUAUGGAAACAGCUGACUUCUGCACAGGAAGCAAUCACUACUGAUUAGAGACUCCAAACCCCUGCCUCUAUUUAUUUCUGUCUUUUUUUUUUUUUUUUUUUUUUUUUUUUUGUAUGAAAAGCAAAGCUCCUGAGGCCUCUUCGUACUCUCACUGUUUCAAUCCCUCGUCCGUGCGUCACAGGAGCAAGCAGGCACAGAGCCAGAAGGGCCAUUCUGUUCCUGCACUGCGGCUCCCAGGGGAUGCAGGGCUCAAGGGCAUAGGGUCACUUCUGGGUGUGACAGCCACGGGGAGAACAAAGCUGCAGAGCUAAGUCACCUGGCCAGACAUGCUGCAGAGGAAAGCAAGACUUCUCCUUGUUAUCUGCCUCCUCUGCUCAGCAACACCACCCGGCUGUUGGGGUUCAUGGUCUGAAGAGGAAUACAGCUGUUAUGCAAAAUUUGGCAUGCAAAGCUAACAUUCUUCAGAUUUUAGUGUUGGAUUUGUGUAUCUGUGGAGGGAGUUAGGGACUUAAGCUGCUUUAAGUUUAUAAUGUUUAAUCUGUAGUCAUGAUGACACACUUCAUUUAGUAACAUCCCCAUUUGGUGUGACACUGCUUACUCACCAAUGCUCAGCCUAGGAUGACUGAGAGAUGCUGUGACAGAUCUGUCCCACUGUGGUGCUUUACAGACCUUCUGCUGCCUGGCAGUCUCUAGUGCUGUUGCCAUCUACCAAAGAUACAACAGCAAGGUAAGCAGCUGAGAUCCAUGUCAAUUAAAUGUGGCCCUUAGUCACUGAAUUUUACAUGAAGUCACUCAGACUGAUAUCAGCUAAGGAAAACAAAAGACCAAGGAAUAAUAGUCCCUGGCUAAUAUGACUUUUCUCAGUAUACUGUCUGACUAAAGCUGUAGGCAG